GGAAUAUAAGAAUCUGUCUCUUAACUUUUAAUUAAAAAAGUUUAAAACUGGCUCGUAAAUAAGAGUUUUAAGAGACGGUUCUUAGUUUUUUUAGUUAAAAGUUAAGAGACGGGUUCUUAUAUUCA
rfam:Brassica napus, WGS project CCCW01000000 data, contig: 23361